GCAAGUCAAGGGGAACAGUUCUUCGUAACUUAGUACACUGGCGCACGGGUGAGUAACGCGUGAGGAAUCUACCUUUCAGUUUGGGACAACAUUCCGAAAGGGAUGCUAAUACCGGAUAAUACUGCAAUCCGCAUGUUUUGUAGGGAAAGGCGGGGUAACCUGUCGCUUUUAGAUGAUCUCGCGUAUCAUUAGAUAGUUGGUGAGGUAACGGCUCACCAAGGCGACGAUGCGUAGCCGGCCUGAGAGGGUGGCC
rnacentral:rRNA from 1 species